rnacentral:rRNA from 1 species
CGGACCGGCGCACGGGUGAGUAACACGUAUGCAACCUGCCCGUCUCAGGGGGAUAAUCGUCGGAAACGGCGUCUAAUACCCCGUAUGAAGCUGGACGGCAUCGUCUGGUUUUGAAAGAAUAUCGGAGACGGAUGGGCAUGCGGCGCAUUAGCUAGUUGGCGGGGUAACGGCCCACCAAGGCGACGAUGCGUAGGGGUUCUGAGAGGAAGGUCCCCCACACUGGUACUGAGACACGGACCAGACUCCUACGGGAGGCAGCAG